rnacentral:rRNA from 1 species
AUGCCAUUUCAGGAUUGCAUUGGGGCAAUAGAUGGUACUCUUGUCACUGCCAGAGUACCAAGAUCACAAUCUGCAGCAUACAGGGGGAGGAAGCACUACAUAGGUCAGAAUGUGCUUGCUGCUGUUGACUUCAAUCUAAAGUUCACAUAUGUGCUGGCUGGAUGGGAAGGAUCAACACAUGAUGCUAACAUUCUAAGUGACAACAUGAGUAGACCUGAUGGCAUCAACAUCCCCGAUGACAAGUUCUACCUACAAGAUGCUGGCUAUGCAUGCCGGGCAGGUGUUCUUCCAUCCUUCAGGAAAACUAAGUACCAUCUGAACGAGUUAUCUGGUAGGAACUAUCCUAGGACUUCUCAGGAACUGUUCAAUCUCAGACACUCCAGCCUUAGAGUUACAGUUGAGAAGGCAUUUGAACCUUGA